GACAGAGGGGGCAAGCGUUGCUCGGAAUUACUGGGCGUAAAGGGCGCGUAGGCGGCCACCGCAAGUCGGUUGUGAAAUCUCUGGGCUUAACCCAGAAAGGUCAACCGAUACUGCGGGGCUAGAGUGCAGAAGGGGCAACUGGAAUUCUCGGUGUAGCGGUGAAAUGCGUAGAUAUCGAGAGGAACACCUGCGGCGAAGGCGGGUUGCUGGGCUGACACUGACGCUGAAGCGCGAAAGCUAGGGGAGCGAACGGG
rnacentral:rRNA from 1 species